ensembl:snRNA U6 U6 spliceosomal RNA
GUGCUCACUUCAGCGGCACAUAUACUAAAAAAUUGGAACAAUACAGAGAAGAUUAGCAUGGCCAUUGCGCAAGGAUGACAUGCAAAUUUAUGAAGCGUUCCAUAUUUUU